rnacentral:rRNA from 1 species
AGCAGCCGCGGUAAUUCCAGCUCCAAUAGCGUAUAUUAAAGUUGUUGCAGUUAAAAAGCUCGUAGUUGAAUUUCGAGAUCAAUUUGUUGGUCGUGCCUCGGUACGUACUGGCAAUUUUGAUUUCUCCCUUCUGAAGAACCAUGAUGUCAUUAAUUUGGUGUCAUGGGGAAUCAGGACCGUUACUUUGAAAAAAUUAGAGUGUUUAAAGCAGGCUCGCGCUUGAAUACAUUAGCAUGGAAUAAUGAAAUAGGACGUUUGAUUCUAUUUUGUUGGUUUCUAGGAUCGACGUAAUGAUUAAUAGGGAUAGUUGGGGGCAUUAGUAUUCAAUUGUCAGAGGUGAAAUUCUUGGAUUUAUUGAAGACUAACUACUGCGAAAGCAUUUGCCAAGGAUGUUUUCAUUAAUCAAGAACGAAAGUUAGGGGAUCGAAGACGAUCAGAUACCGUCGUAGUCUUAACCAUAAACUAUGCCGACUAGGGAUCGGAUGAUGUUAAUUUUUAAUGA